CCCGGCCGCCACAGGAACCCAUCCAUUCAAGGACCAGCCCAAAGGCUGCCACUUCCGGAAAUCCAUCAGCCCAGCUCCCCUCCACUUCCACAGCAUUUCACAUUCUAUUUCUAAGACUUGCCAUAUUCUUCCUUGCCUCGUGUUUUCACACACAAACAUGCAUUUGUUUAAUUUAUGCAUCAUUAAAAGUUCUCUAGAUUUUGACCCUGUGUCUCUUUUUCUCCUGGUUUGGAGAACUCAGCCCACCACUGUGCCACCCAUCCUGUUCUUUCUCACUUGCUCUCAGACUUGACUCCAUCUCACAGGCCCCAUUUUCUUUAUUUCAGUCUCAACAGAACGUAUCUACAGCCUAAAAAGGUGCCCAGGUGCCCCUAGCCCCAACUCACACUGUCCUUGCUUCUCUUUCCCAGUCAAUGUUAUGAAAAAGCCUUGUAUGAUGUGGCUUUUGUUUUCUCAACCUCCUCACUUCUCAGUGCCUGAAAUCACUAUCUGGUGCCCACAGUGCUCUACGGAAACUGUUCUCUGUCAUUGCCAAGGUGAUCCAACCCCUCUCCUACCUUUUCCUAAUUGUUUCUCCAAUUCAUCCUAAAUCCACCCCCCACCCCCAUGAAUACCUCUUCAAGUGUAGUUCUUAUGAUAUCAUUUCCCUCUCUUGCAGAAAACUUGUGUCUACAAUGUGUAGACAAGUCCCAAAAAAGAAACUGAACAACAGCCAA
rnacentral:lncRNA from 1 species